rnacentral:lncRNA from 1 species
UCCCGCUUGGUUCCGUGGCUCUUCGGGAUCAGUGGGGGACGAUGCCGGCCGCAUUUAGAUUCCUUGUGAGGUGCCCUGAGAUACCAUGUUGGAGAUGGCGGCUGUGCCCUGCUGCUCCGUUGUCUGCUUCCGUGCACAGCUUGUGACCAUCGUGUGCUGGGACACCUGUGGUACGUUCAGUCAGACUCGGGUGGAGCCAAAUUUUGAUGCCUCUUUACACAUCCUCCAAGUAGAGGAUGUAGGUGAUGGACAACCAACAGAUGGCACCAGGCCCUCCCAUACGCUCUAUGAAAAUGAUGAGAAUGACUUCCAAGGCUGUGAGUGGUGGCUGAUGAGAAGCUAAGAAGAGGAACCUCAAAGUUAAACUGAUUGGGUGGAGGAACAGACGACAACGCACCGAUUGGAGUGAUGGUGUCCUGCUCAGAAAUGGAUGUGCUGGAUGGCAGAAGAGGAUUCUUGGCCAAGUAUGGAAUCAUCUCUGUUCCUUCACGAAGAUUCCUCAUGCUGAAGAAGAGAGAGGUUUUCUGACAACAGAUUCUUGACGAAGAAUGAGAAGAAGGUUUCUGACAUGAGAAGCCUCACGACCUGCCUCUCCCUCCUGGAC